rnacentral:tRNA from 1 species
GGGCCUGUAGUUUAGUUGGUUAAAACAGCUGGCUGGCAGUCAGCAGACCACCGGUUCGAUCCCGGUCAGGUCCA